rnacentral:rRNA from 1 species
CGGUUUAAUAAGUCUCUGGUGAAAUCCUGCAGCUUAACUGUGGGAAUUGCUGGAGAUACUAUUAGACUUGAGACCGGGAGAGGUUGGAGGUACUCCCAGGGUAGAGGUGAAAUUCUGUAAUCCUGGGAGGACCGCCUGUUGCGAAGGCGUCUAACUGGAACGGUUCUGACGGUGAGGGACGAAAGUUAGGGGCGCGAACCGGAUUAGAUACCCGGGUAGUCCUAACUGUAAACGAUGCGGACUUGGUGUUGGGGUGGCUUUGAGCUGUCCCAGUGCCGAAGGGAAGCUGUUAAGUCCGCCGCCUGGGAAGUACGGUCGCAAGACUGAAGCUUAAAGGAAUUGGCGGGGGAGCACCACAACGCGUGGAGCCUGCGGUUUAAUUGGAUUCAACGCCGGACAUCUCACCAGAGGCGACAGCUGUAUGAUAGCCAGGUUGAUGACUUUGCUUGACUAGCUGAAAGGAGGUGCAUGGCCGCCGUCUGCUCGUACCGUGAGGCGUCCUGUUAAGUCAGGCAACGAGCUGAGACCCACGCCCUUAGUUACCAGCUUAUCCUUUUUUGGAUGAUGGGCACACUAAGGAGACCGCCCGUGAUAAACUGGAGGAAGGAGUGUACGACGGU